rnacentral:rRNA from 1 species
AUGCAUAUCUGUUGUUUUCAGGGAGACAAAUACAUGGAGAAAGAACCUACUGCACUGGAUUUAUUCAAGGAGUGCCACUACAACAGCAAAAAGAAAGGCUACACUGAUGUUGUGCAAGCUGCAAUUGUUGAAAUGGAACAGAGUGCUUCUCAGCCUACAGAAGAUGGCCAACAAUCCAACUCUGCAACCAAGGCUGUGGCUGAAGUUCUUACUAAGCACACUAAGAAGCCAAUGUUUCUUAAGCAUGUGAGGGUCCAACACAUGCAUGAGAGAUCCAGUCGUAGCGGCCGUGAGGCAGAACAGGAAGUGCAGAAGAGGGGAACAGCUGAGCUUCGGGCCCGUGUUGAAACCUUGACCAAUCAGUUAAAGGAAUUAGAAGAAGCAAGGAUCAGGCAAGAAGAAGCAAGGACCAAGAAAGAAGAGGAGAACAGGAAAAAGCAAGAGGAGCUGGAAGCUAAAUUAAACUUCUUACUAAGUCAGAUUACUCCAAGAUGA